rnacentral:rRNA from 1 species
AUCCCCUUCGGGGGUGACGCUUGUGGAAUGAGCGGCGGACGGGUGAGUAACACGUGGGCAACCUGCCUGUAAGACUGGGAUAACCCCGGGAAACCGGGGCUAAUACCGGAUAAUACUUUCUUUUGCAUAAAGGAAAGUUGAAAGGCGGCUUCGGCUGUCACUUACAGAUGGGCCCGCGGCGCAUUAGCUAGUUGGUGAGGUAACGGCUCACCAAGGCGACGAUGCGUAGCCGACCUGAGAGGGUGAUCGGCCACACUGGGACUGAGACACGGCCCAGACUCCUACGGGAGGCAGCAGUAGGGAAUCUUCCGCAAUGGACGAAAGUCUGACGGAGCAACGCCGCGUGAGUGAUGAAGGUUUUCGGAUCGUAAAACUCUGUUGUUAGGGAAGAACAAGUUGGGUAGUAACUGACNNAACCUUGACGGUACCUAACCAGAAAGCCACGGCUAACUACGUGCCAG